GGAUUGGCUUAGCUGGUUAAAGCGUCGGAUUGUGGUUCCGAAGAUCCAGGGUUCGAAUCCCUGAU
rnacentral:tRNA from 1 species